GACGAACGCUGGCGGCGUGCUUAACACAUGCAAGUCGAACGGAAAGGCCCUGCUUUUGUGGGGUGCUCGAGUGGCGAACGGGUGAGUAACAAGUGAGUAACCUGCCCUUGACUUUGGGAUAACUUCAGGAAACUGGGGCUAAUACCGGAUAGGAGCUCCUGCUGCAUGGUGGGGGUUGGAACGUUUCGGCGGUUGGGGAUGGACUCGCGGCUUAUCAGCUUGUUGGUGGGGUAGUGGCUUACCAAGGCUUUGAGGGGUAGCCGGCCUGAGAGGGUGGCCGGCGACAUUGGGACUGAGAUACGGCCCAGACUCCUACGGGAGGCAGCAGUGGGGAAUAUUGCACAAUGGGCGGAAGCCUGAUGCAGCAACGCCGCGUGCGGGAUGACGGCCUUCGGGUUGUAAACCGCUUUCGCCUGUGACGAAGCGUGAGUGACGGUAAUGGGUAAAGAAGCACCGGCUAACUACGUG
rnacentral:rRNA from 1 species